AAGAAGAAAAGAAUAAAGACUUCCGCCCGGCCCCCGGACGUCACUUCCUCGCUUCACCAUGGUACCUCCAGUCGCAGUGUCGCCGCUCAUCAAGAUUACCUAAAGCCCAUUGCUGAGGAGGAGAAGAGGGUUGAGGAAGUGGAGAAGAAGGCCAGAGAGGAGCAGGAGCGCAUCUACAAACAACUGUCUGAAGCCAAUUCUGACACCAUCCUCAAAUGAACGGUCUCUGGACCUGUUAAGUUAUGUUCCAAACUCAAUAAAAACAAAACAUAUUUUUCAUGUAAUAAUCAGUUAUUUGUGUUUUUUUGUGGGGGUUUAUCUUCAUACUAAAAUAGCAAAUCAAACUAGUUAA